rnacentral:rRNA from 1 species
CCUACGGGGGGCAGCAGUGAGGAAUAUUGGUCAAUGGGAGAGAUCCUGAACCAGCCAAGCCGCGUGAGGGAAGACGGCCCUAUGGGUUGUAAACCUCUUUUGUCGGAGAACAAAACCCGGGACGUGUCCCGGACUGCGUGUAUCCGAAGAAAAAGCAUCGGCUAACUCCGUGCCAGCAGCCGCGGUAAUACGGAGGAUGCGAGCGUUAUCCGGAUUUAUUGGGUUUAAAGGGUGCGUAGGCGGUCACGCAAGUCAGAAGUGAAAACCCGGGGCUCAACCCUGGGAGUGCUUUUGAAACUGUGCGG